UUAUUUUUGGGGCCUUUGGGUUAAGAUCAAUUGUAGCAUAUGUUCAUAUCAGUUUAAUAUCUGAUUCGUGGUCCAUUGGAUCACACAAUAUAAAGUUUACUUUUAAUGGGCGAAGGUCCAUAACUGUAGCUUGCACUAUUGCACGGGCCUGGCAAAGCUUUGUAAUUGAAACACAAUAAUUAUUUUUUAUAGGAACUAAU